UUCUAAAAAGUCCGUCUACAGUAAGAGUAAAAUAUGACUGCAAGAAAUAAGAAAUUAACUAGUCACGGUUGAAUGUGUGAUUGAUCGAUUUGUUACUUCUUACAGCCAUACUUUGCUCCCAUUGUAGACGGUCCUUUAGUCUUUUUCUUACUUUUCGUAUGCUAAGCUUACUCCACGUAUUGAAGACGAAAUUUAAUACGCGACUGCAACGAGACGGUGUACACGUCGCGAUCAACACGAAUUCGACAAGUCGCGGUCAUCGUGAGACUUGUGAAACUUACCACACCCAGAUCAGACGGAGUUUGCGGCCGCAACGACAGAGGAAGCUCCAAGGAUGCUGUCAUGAUGAUUCCUGAUGCCGUACCGGAGGAUCCGGUUCGGGCCGAGCAGAGUCGGCUCGUAGAUAAGCUCAUACACCUGCUAUGCUCCUCUCCUUGAUUCUUUAGAGCUUGUAAGAGAACGCGGCCGAUUCUGAGUACGGCGGUUUGGUGAGUCACAAAUAAGUGCCAAAGUGAGCAUUAUUGAUUUAAGGUGGUGGUUGUAGAUGUUCGAAUCAAUGCGAUUAGUUUGGUUUGUAGAUGUCUAUAUGUAUGUG